GACGAACGCUGGCGGCGUGCUUAACACAUGCAAGUCGUACGGUAAGGCCCUUUCGGGGGUACACGAGUGGCGAACGGGUGAGUAACACGUGCGUAACCUGCCCACAACUUUGGGAUAACGCUAGGAAACUGGUGCUAAUACUGGAUAUGUGCUCCUGCUGCAUGGUGGGGGUUGGAAAGCUCCGGCGGUUGUGGAUGGACUCGCGGCCUAUCAGCUUGUUGGUGGGGUAGUGGCCUACCAAGGCGGCGACGGGUAGCCGGCCUGAGAGGGUGACCGGCCACAUUGGGACUGAGAUACGGCCCAGACUCCUACGGGGGGCAGCAGUGGGGAAUAUUGCACAAUGGGCGCAAGCCUGAUGCAGCAACGCCGCGUGCGGGAUGACGGCCUUCGGGUUGUAAACCGCUUUCAGCAGGGACGAAGCUUUUUGUGACGGUACCUGCAGAAGAAGCACCGGCUAACUACGUG
rnacentral:rRNA from 1 species